rnacentral:rRNA from 1 species
UAGGGAAUCUUCCACAAUGGACGCAAGUCUGAUGGAGCAACGCCGCGUGAGUGAGGAAGGUCUUCGGAUCGUAAACUCUGUUGUUAGAGAAGAACACGAGUGAGAGUAACUGUUCAUUCGAUGACGGUAUCUAACCAGCAAGUCACGGCUAACUACGUGCCAG